rnacentral:rRNA from 1 species
ACGAACGCUGGCGGCGCGCCUAAUACAUGCAAGUCGAGCGAGAAGACGUAGCAAUACGUUUGUAAAGCGGCGAACGGGUGAGGAAUACAUGGGUAACCUACCCUCGAGUGGGGAAUAACUAGCCGAAAGGUUAGCUAAUACCGCGUACGCUCCUUGGACUUCGGUUCAGGGAGGAAAGCGAUACCGCGGGUAUCGCGCUCUUGGAUGGGCUCAUGUCCUAUCAGCUUGUUGGUGAGGUAACGGCUCACCAAGGCUUCGACGGGUAGCUGGUCUGAGAGGACGAUCAGCCACACUGGCACUGCGACACGGGCCAGACUCCACGGGAGGCAGCAGUAAGGAAUAUUGCGCAAUGGGCAAAGCCUGACGCAGCGACGCCGCGUGGGGGAUGAAGGUCUUCGGAUUGUAAACCCCUUUCGGGAGGGAAGAUGGAACGAGCGAAUCGUUCGGACGGUACCUCCAGAAGCAGCCACGGCU